GGGAAACCUGGUGAGUACAUAGGGUUUUCAACCCACAAUAAUAUAAUUAUUAUGUUCAAUCAAACAAUCAACCCAAUUACCCAUCCCCAUUAUCUUCUUUACUCUUUAAGGAUUUAACCUAAGAGUCAUCUAUCCUGCAUUCGUUUAUUCCGAAGUCCCUUACUUCCAGGGUUAUAGGACUGGCACUAAAUCCAUAGCUGCCAAUGUUCGUUCAUAAAGCACUAAUUCCAUAGCUGCUAUAGUCUAUUCAUCGGGUACUAAAUCCAUAGCUACCAGUCUUUAUCUAAUAGGUACUAAGUCCAUAGCUACCAAUGUUCAACAGGUACUAAGUCCAUAGCUACCAAUUCCAACAGGUACUAAAUCCUUAGCUACCAGCGUCUAACUAAUAGGUACUAAGUCCAUAGCUACCAAUUCCCAACAGGCACUAAAUCCAUAGCUACCAACGUCUAAAAGGUACUAAGUCCAUAGCUACCGGUGUUCGUCCCAUAGGCACUAAGUCUAUAGCUGCCAAUGUAUACUCACGUCAUCUUCUAUCUCUCAUCAUUCAUCUACCCAUCUCAUACCCAACAUAUUCGUAUAUAUAAAAUACGUAUACAGUUUAAAUCCUUUAAAACAUGUAUAAAACGUUCAUCCAGCAUAG
rnacentral:lncRNA from 1 species